UACACAAACACUGAGGGAGCUUCAGCAAUAUUUAUAGAAAAGGAGAGUCAAAAUGGAUUUUAAAUGAAGAGAAACAGCUGCUCCAGCUAAAAGCAUACUAACGGAUCUGGUUAUCUUCGUCUCCUUACUUUGGAUAACUGGACUGCAACUUAAUUUGGCUUUGCAUGUGCAAUCUCAAUACUUCAUGGUGAAUGAACAGCUCAUCCUAAACCGCUACCCAUGCAAGUGGAUUUUCAGUAUAUGACAGCUGUGGUACUGAAUACUAAAUAUAAUGACAACGCUUAUCCCCACAAAGUGGAUCACGUUUAAUUUUCUUCAGUAUAUUUAGUGAUACAUUCUUGUUCAUCACCAAUACCAUAGUUGCCUAGCCUAUUGAUGAAUUUCUAUCAGAGUACUAAAGAACAGCUUUGUAAACACAAUGAAAAUAUCUUCAGUUUCUAAACAGACAAUUUAUACUUGACACACUUGGGAAUCUAGGCAGACCACGGAAACUUCUCCCGAUAAUGAAAAAACAUUGGUAAAAA